GACGAACGCUGGCGGCGUGCUUAACACAUGCAAGUCGAACGAAGUGGCGAACGGGUGAGUAACGCGUAAUCAACCUGCCCUUCAGAGGGGGACAACAGUUGGAAACGACUGUUAUUACCGCAUACUGAAGGCGGGGAUUGCGUCUGAUUAGCUAGUUGGUGGGGUAACGGCCCACCAAGGCGAUGAUCAGUAGCCGGUCUGAGAGGAUGAACGGCCACAUUGGGACUGAGGAACGGCUCAGACUCCUACGGGAGGGAGCAGUGGGGAAUCUUCCGCAAUGGACGAAAGUCUGACGGAGCAACGCCGCGUGAGUGAUGACGGCCUUCGGGUUGUAAAGCUCUGUUAAUCGGGACGCGGUACCGGAAUAGAAAGCCACGGAUAACUACGUGCCAGCAGCCGCGGUAAUUC
rnacentral:rRNA from 1 species